rnacentral:rRNA from 1 species
GCGUGCCGAGGUCGGACUGGGUAGCAAGUCCCCCUGACCGGGGCCUGUCCAGAGCGGGUGCGAGGCCCAUAGCCGCCCGGUCCGUCUCGGAUGCGAUCUCCUUGGAGUCGGGUUGCUUGGGAGUGCAGCCCCAAUCGGGUGGUAAACUCCACCUAAGGCUAAAUACCGCCGUGAGACCGAUAGCAAACAAGUACCGUGAGGGAAAGUUGCAAAGAACUUUGAAGAGAGAGUUCAAGAGUACGUGAAACUGCUCAGAGGGAAACGGGUGGGCCCUCGAAAUCCUGUGGCGAGAGGAUUCAGUCUGGCGCGGUGGACGCGGUGGUCGGAAAGAGGAAGGGUUUCCCGAGACGGGGGCCGUCCGAUUCCGCCAGGUCCGCCGCAUCCGACGCAUUUGUCUCUCGUCCGAAGGACGCCGCAGCCGGUCGGGCAGCGCAAGCGUGACGGCCUGAGGGUCGGGAGAUGGCAGGUGGCCGGUGGGGAGCCUCGUGCUCCUCGCCGGUUGUUAGCCGUCCCGUCAGUGGCACGUCGCUCGACCGAGGUGUCGCGAGUCC